rnacentral:rRNA from 1 species
UAAGUUGUUGCAGUUAAAAAGCUCGUAGUUGGAUUUCGGUUGAGAACGGCCGGUCCGCCGUUUGGUGUGCACUGGCUGGUUUCAACUUCCUGUAGAGGACGCGCUCUGGCUUCACGGCUGGACGCAGAGUCUACGUGGUUACUUUGAAAAAAUUAGAGUGUUCAAAGCGGGCUUACGCUUGAAUAUUUCAGCAUGGAAUAACACUAUAGGACUCCUGUCCUAUUUCGUUGGUCUCGGGACGGGAGUAAUGAUUAAGAGGGACAGUUGGGGGCACUCGUAUUUCAUUGUCAGAGGUGAAAUUCUUGGAUUUAUGAAAGACGAACUUCUGCGAAAGCAUUUGCCAAGGAUGUUUUCAUUAAUCAAGAACGAAAGUUGGGGGCUCGAAGAUGAUUAGAUACCAUCCUAGUCUCAACCAUAAACGAUGCCGACUAGGGAUUGCAGGAUGUUAAUUGAUGACUCCUGCAGCACCUUAUGAGAAAUCAAAGUUUUUGGGUUCCGGGGGGAGUAUGGUCGCAAGGCUGAAACUUAAAGGAAUUGACGGAAGG